AACGCUGGCGGCGUGCUUAACACAUGCAAGUCGAACGCUGAAGGCCCAGCUUGCUGGGUUGGAUGAGUGGCGAACGGGUGAGUAACACGUGAGUAACCUGCCCCCUUCUUUGGGAUAACGGUCGGAAACGGCUGCUAAUACCGGGUAUUCACCGUCCUUCGCAUGGGGGGUGGUGGAAAGGUUUUUUCUGGUGGGGGAUGGGCUCGCGGCCUAUCAGCUUGUUGGUGGGGUGAUGGCUUACCAAGGCUUUGGCGGGUAACCGGCCUGAGAGGGUGACCGGUCACAUUGGGACUGAGAUACGGCCCAGACUCCUACGGGAGGCAGCAGUGAGGAAUAUUGCACAAUGGGCGAAAGCCUGAUGCAGCGACGCCGCGUGAGGGAUGACGGCCUUCGGGUUGUAAACCUCUUUCGCUCAUGGUCAAGCCGCAACAGUGGUUGUGGUGAGGGUAGUGGGUAAAG
rnacentral:rRNA from 1 species